rnacentral:rRNA from 1 species
GACGAACGCUGGCGGCGUGCUUAACACAUGCAAGUCGAACGAAGUGGCGAACGGGUGAGUAACGCGUAAUCAACCUGCCCUUCAGAGGGGGACAACAGUUGGAAACGACUGCUAAUCCCGCAUACUGAAGGAGGGGAUUGCGUCGGAUUGGCUAGUUGGGGGGGUAACGGCCCACCAAGGCGAAGAUCAGUAGGCGGGCUGGGAGGAUGAACGGCCACAAUGGGACUGGGACACGGCCCAGACUUCCACGGGAGGGAGCAGUGGGGAAUCUUCCGCAAUGGACGAAAGUCUGACGGAGCAACGCCGCGUGAGUGGUGACGGCCUUCGGGUUGUAAAGCUCUGUUAAUCGGGACGCGGUACCGGAAGAGAAAGCCACGGCUAACUACGUGCCAGCAGCCGCGGUAAUUC